rnacentral:rRNA from 1 species
CCUACGGGAGGCAGCAGUGGGGAAUAUUGGGCAAUGGGCGCAAGCCUGACCCAGCAACGCCGCGUGAAGGAAGAAGGCUUUCGGGUUGUAAACUUCUUUUCUCAGGGACGAAGAAAGUGACGGUACCUGAUGAAUAAGCCACGGCUAACUACGUGCCAGCAGCCCCGGUAAUACGUAGGUGGCAAGCGUUAGCCGGAUUUAUUGGGUGUAAAGGGCGUGUAGGCGGGAGCGCAAGUCAGAUGUGAAAACUCAGGGCUCAACCCUGAGCCUGCAUUUGAAACUGUGUUUCUUGAGUGCUGGAGAGGUAAUCGGAAUUCCGGGUGUAGCGGUGAAAUGCGUAGAUAUACGGAGGAACACCAGUGGCGAAGGCGGAUUGCUGGACAGUAACUGACGCUGAGGCGCGAAAGCGUGGGGAGCAAACAGGAUUAGAUACCCGUGUAGUC